UGGGGAAUUUUGGACAAUGGGGGAAACCCUGAUCCAGCCAUCCCGUGUGUGCGAUGAAGGCCUUCGGGUUGUAAAUCACUUUUGGCAGGAAAGAAACGUCAUGGGUUAAUACCCCGUGAAACUGACGGUACCUGCAGAAUAAGCACCGGCUAACUACGUGCCAGCAGCCGCGGUAAUACGUAGGGUGCAAGCGUUAAUCGGAAUUACUGGGCGUAAAGCGUGCGCAGGCGGUUCGGAAAGAAAGAUGUGAAAUCCCAGAGCUCAACUUUGGAACUGCAUUUUUAACUACCGGGCUAGAGUGUGUCAGAGGGAGGUGGAAUUCCGCGUGUAGCAGUGAAAUGCGUAGAUAUGCGGAGGAACACCGAUGGCGAAGGCAGCCUCCUGGGAUAACACUGACGCUCAUGCACGAAAGCGUGGGGAGCAAACAGG
rnacentral:rRNA from 1 species